rnacentral:rRNA from 1 species
UGGCGGCAGGCUUACACAUGCAGUCGAGCGCCUCGCAUGGGCAGUGGUCCACGUGUGACUAACGCAUGGGAACAUACCCUUUCCUGCGGAAUAUGUCCGGGGGGCUGGAAUUAAUACCGCGAACGCUCUACGGGGGAAAGAUUUAUCGGGGAAGGAUUGGCCCGCGUUGGAUUCGCUAGUUGGAGGGGCAAAGGCCUACCAUGGCGACGAUCCAUAGCUGGGCUGACAGGAGGAUCAAUCACAUUGGGACUGAAACACGGCCCCAACUCCUACGGGACGGAGCAGUGGGGAAUACUGCACAAUGGGCGCAAGCCGGAUCCUAUCAUGCCAUGUGAGUGAUGAAGGCCUUACGGUUGUAAAGCUCUUUCACCGAUCAUCAUGAUGACGGUCAUUUUAAAAUAAGCCCCGGCUAACUUCGUGCCUACCUCCGCGUUAAUACGAAGGGGGCUAACGUUGUUCCGAAUUACUGGGCGUAAACCGCACGUAUGCUGAUAUUUAAGUCAGGGGUGAAAUCCCUUACCUCAACUGCGGAACUGCCUUUGAUACUGGGUAUCUGGAUUAUGGAACACGUAAGUGGAAUUCCGAGUGUAGAGGUGAAAUUCCUGAAUAUUCGGAGGAACAGGGUUGGCGAAUGCGGCUUACUGGUCCAUUACUGACGCUGAUGUGCGAAAGCGUGAGGAGCAAACGCGAUUACAUACCCUGGUAGUCCACGCCGUAUGCGAUGAAUGUUAGCCGUCGGGCAGUAUACUGUUCGGUGGCGCAGCUAACGCAUUAAACAUUCCGCCUGGGGAGUACGGUCGCAAGAUUAAAACUCAAAGGAAUUGACAGGGGCCCGCACAAGCGGUGGAGCAUGUGGUUUAAUUCAAAGCAACGCGCAGAACCUUACCAGCUCUUGACAUUCGGGGUAUGGGCAUUGGAGACGAUGUCCUUCAGUUAUGCUGUCCCCAUAACAUGUGCUGCAUGGCUGUCGUCAGCUCGUGUCGUGAGAUGUAGGGUUAAGUCCCGCAACGAGCGCAGCCCUCGCCUUUAGUCGCCAGCAUUUAGUUGGGCACUCUAAAGGGACUGCCGGUGAUAAGCCGAGAGGAAGGUGGGGAUGACGUCAAGUUCACGAGGACCCUACGGGCUGAGCUACACACGUGCUACAAUGAUGCUGACAGUGGGCAGCGAUACCGCCAUGUCCAACCUAUUUCUACAUGCCAUCUCAAUUCGGAGUGCACUCUGCACCUCGAGUGCCUGAACUCGGAAUCGC